rnacentral:rRNA from 1 species
GACGAACGCUGGCGGCGUGCUUAACACAUGCAAGUCGAACGGAAAGGCCCUGCUUUUGUGGGGUGCUCGAGUGGCGAACGGGUGAGUAACACGUGAGUAACCUGCCCUUGACUUUGGGAUAACUUCAGGAAACUGGGGCUAAUACCGGAUAGGAGCUCCUGCUGCAUGGUGGGGGUUGGAAAGUUUCGGCGGUUGGGGAUGGACUCGCGGCUUAUCAGCUUGUUGGUGGGGUAGUGGCUUACCAAGGCUUUGACGGGUAGCCGGCCUGAGAGGGUGACCGGCCACAUUGGGCCUGAGAUACGGCCCAGACCCCUACGGUAGGCAGCAGUGCGGAAUAUUGCACAAUGGGCGGAAGCCUGAUGCAGCAACGCCGCGUGCGGGAUGACGGCCUUCUGGUUGUAAACCGCUUUCGCCUGUGACGAAGCGUGAGUGACGGUAAUGGGUAAAGAAGCACCGGCUAACUACGUG